CUGAUGUGGAAAGUGGAAAGAGUUUGUCCAGGCAGCAGCAAGAAAGCUCCAGGAGAAAAUCGCCCAUCAUCCCUCAACCCCUUGCCAGUGCCUUAAUCUGAUCCCCGAGGAACAACGCAGAGGCUUCACUCUGGAUGACAAACGAGGAGGGGAGAGGCCUGCCCUGCCUGGACUCCGGGUGAGUAAUGGCUUUGCAUUAAGAUAUUAAGCCUGGACGACAAGAAAUGUGCU